UACGAAGGGGGCUAGCGUUGCUCGGAAUCACUGGGCGUAAAGGGCGCGUAGGCGGAUCUUUAAGUCGGGGGUGAAAGCCCAGGGCUCAACCCUGGAAUGGCCUUCGAUACUGGAGAUCUUGAGACCGGAAGAGGUAAGUGGAACUGCGAGUGUAGAGGUGAAAUUCGUAGAUAUUCGCAAGAACACCAGUGGCGAAGGCGGCUUACUGGCCCGGUUCUGACGCUGAGGCGCGAAAGCGUGGGGAGCAAACAGG
rnacentral:rRNA from 1 species